GUGCAANUUUACNUGCAGUCGAAACGGUACGCNGGGGAGAAGCUUGCUUCUCUCCGGCGACGAGUGGCGAACGGGUGAGUAAUACAUCGGAACGUGUCCGCUCGUGGGGGACAACCAGCCGAAAGGUUGGCUAAUACCGCAUGAGUUCUACGGAAGAAAGAGGGGGACCCGCAAGGGCCUCUCGCGAGCGGAGCGGCCGAUGACUGAUUAGCCGGUUGGUGAGGUAACGGCUCACCAAAGCAACGAUCAGUAGCUGGUCUGAGAGGACGACCAGCCACACUGGGACUGAGACACGGCCCAGACUCCUACGGGAGGCAGCAGUGGGGAAUUUUGGACAAUGGGCGCAAGCCUGAUCCAGCUAUUCCGCGUGUGGGAUGAAGGCCCUCGGGUUGUAAACCACUUUUUUAGAGAACGAAAAGACACCUUCGAAUAAAGGGUGUUGCUGACGGUACUCUAAGAAUAAGCACCGGCUAACUACGUGCCAGCAGCCGCGGUAAUACGUAGGGUGCGAGCGUUAAUCGGAAUUACUGGGCGUAAAGGGUGCGCAGGCGGUUGAGUAAGACAGAUGUGAAAUCCCCGAGCUUAACUCGGGAAUGGCAUAUGUGACUGCUCGACUAGAGUGUGUCAGAGGGAGGUGGAAUUCCACGUGUAGCAGUGAAAUGCGUAGAUAUGUGGAAGAACACCGAUGGCGAAGGCAGCCUCCUGGGACAUAACUGACGCUCAGGCACGAAAGCGUGGGGAGCAAACAGG
rnacentral:rRNA from 1 species